rnacentral:tRNA from 1 species
GCGUCGAUGCCCGAGAGGCUGAAGGGGGCAGACUGUAAAUCUGUUGUCACAACGUGGCCGCGCUAGUUCGAAUCUAGCUCGACGCACGA